AAAAGGAACCGGGAGGAAGCAUUAGGUAGACGCCUCACUUUGGAGAGCAAGACCAGAGAGCAGUUUUACUUACUAGGGCAGCCGCUCCGCUCUCCUCGGGAACAGAGGAGUCUUCCUUCCCUUUCUUCCAGUCCAACCGAGAACUGUCUUUCUGUCCCAGGGUCCGGGCUCAACUGCAGACAGGGAGAGCAACGGCCUCAGCCGGCAGCGCUCGCUCGGCGUCGGUGGGCUGCAGCGCUUCGGCUUCUUUAAAAGUGAUGGCUGCGGCGGCGCGGCCGCGGCGGGCAGGACCGGCGGGGGGCGGCUGGCUGCCGUGGCGACAGAGACCCGAGCCCAGGCAGCCAGGCCUUGCCUCCAGCUCAGCGUGGAGAGCACCUUCCGGCUACCGGGCGCUGGACAGCGCCUGGCCAGGUGCGCACUUCUGCAGGUGUCCCUGCUGCCCUGCUCCAGGUUUCUUGGAGGGAAGCUGGCGGUAAGGGGUGAAGAGUUGGGGUCUGAAAUGUAGGGACCAGAGCAGUACAGUCAGAGGAUGGAGAGAGAGAGAGAAAGAGAGAAGGAAGCACUUGUCUCAGGGAUGUGCUUCUGAUAUAGGAUGUAGUUUGCAGUCCGGGAGCUGGCCAGUUUGGUGGGGCUUUUAAGGGGAAGAAGGGGCUCCGCCAUCGUGCUGGUUAUCUUGAAGAAAACCUGUGGAAGAGUUUCUGGGAUGCAGCUUUGGUACUCCGGAGACGACGCCCACAGGUAUAUGAUGAAGAGGGUCCUUCACCACCACCUUGAUAUCCCAACGCAAAUGGUUUGUGCCUCCACCCACCCCCAGAUGCACUUCAGACUUGGGGCUCCUGAGAGAGGAACUUAACCCUUAUUCCCAAGAACAGUAGACAGGGAAAAUCCUCAAGGACAGGGUGGGCCAGAUAGAGUAAAGGCUUUCUUAGGUUUACAUUAUGUUUGAUCAGAACAAAGCUAUUGGCAACAAAUGCUGUUCCCUGCUAGACAGAAAGCAAGCACAUCCCACGGUUGGUGCUUAAAAUGAAAAGAAACCAAAAUAAUUAUCACUUUGGUAACAAUAAGCAACCUAGAACAUUGCAGGUGUACUCUGGCUAAAGGUGUUGUGAACAUUGUGGAACGAACUAAACAGCUGUGAGCCACUUCUGCCCAAAGAGGCAUAAAGCUUCAUCAAAAUAAGUGACAUGCUCCCACAGCGUUCUUUUCUUUCUUUCGUGCCUGAUUUCAUUCUUGCUUAGUUUCUUUGGCUCUUCAUGAGUGACCCAUCCUCUGUCGGGCUCCCUGCUCAGCCUCCCUAAAGCCACUGUGCUCACAAAUCCAAAAAGUUUCACAGGUACCUUCAUUGUGUCUUAAAAUGGCUUUUGGAAAUGUCAGUAUGUAAAACAAGUGACACAUGGUGUAAGAGAAUGCACGUGACUUCUUUAUGCAAUUAUACAGAGCACUUGCUUUUCUUAUGUGUUGUCUGUCCAAGAUGGUGACUCAGUCUCUGUCUCUGUCUCUGUGUUUCUCUCUGUCUCUGUGUCUCUCUUUGUCUCUCUAUCCUUCUAUCUCUGUUACUCUUCCUGCGUCUUUCUCUCCCUCCUUCCCUUCCACCCUACCUUUCCUUCUUCCUCCCUUCCUCUUUUACUCUCUCCCUCUUCUCCCCUCCUCCCUUUCCUUUUCCUCCUUUCCUUUUCCUAGACUCCCUCUGCUUCCCUUCUUUCCUCCUCCCAGUAUCUCCUUUGUACAAAUGGACCCUACUCAGUCCUGUCUCAGUCCCUUCCAGUUAAUGUUCUAUAAUGGUUUUACAUGAACUUUGUAAGGCAGCCUCUGACUACCAACAGGGAGUUGGUGCUGACUGGUAAAGAGGGAUGCUGGGACUCAAGGAUACAGCUCCGUUUCCUGUCAUCACUAGGUCAUUACAUAUGCUAUUCUACUCAAUGCCAAGUGGCAGCCGAAAUGAUUUCCUCUCUGCUAUCCAUAAUCAUAUCUUUAUCCUCCCCUUGGAAACAUAAUUAAUAAUAAAAGAUAUAAUGCGUCUUGAAACCAUGGGAAGAACAGAUGGAUGUUGCUAUGAUGUUAGCCACCUUCUCCACUCCUGCUGCUGACAGUGUGGCCACUUUCCCCUUUGUUCAGCCGCUUCUAUUGGGUUAAGCGAAGCAUUUGGCCCUUCUACUGUGUUCUCCUUCCACCUAUCCCCUGACAAUAGUUUGUGUAUUUUAAAUAAAGAUUUCAUUCUGCCAACCCGCAGGAAGCUUUUAACAAGAUGCAGCUGAGCGUGUCGAUAUCUUACAUCUUUUUACUGCUGUUUGGGUUGCUCAGCUACUUGAAGCUGCUCACUGCCUCAGACAAACACUGGCACCUUCCAGAGACAAUGUUCCCUGGCUUGAUUUACGCUCAUUGUUACAACUAUCCUUUGGUGCCCUCUGGAAGUACACAGGACAUUGCAAGUAAAGGAAGAGAGUGGGUGUUGAAGUGAAGCACUGUUCUGCCUCUUUCCACUGAAAGCACCAUAUAUAUAUUCACUGUGAAUAGCUCUAUGUAAUGAUUUUGUUAAUGAUUAUUGUUGUGAACAUGGGACUGAAAAUGGAUUAUGGUUCUUAAGUUGACUGUACCAAGUCUUGGGAGUUAAAUGUGUUCAUCUACCUAUCUGUUAAAUCUGGAAUAUUUACUAGGAUUUAUAAUUUCAUUGAAAAAGCAGAUUUAUAUGUCUUUAUUAAGCAAUUGGUGGAUAUUUUCUUUAAAAAUGUUUAAAUUGACUGUCAAUUAACCAUGUGUUU
rnacentral:lncRNA from 1 species